UCUGGAGAUCCUUCCUCUUGGAGCCCUUCUAUGAGCCCAGGACAUAGGUAAGAUCUUUAUUUCAUUUCUCUUUUGUAACGCAAUAGUCUCUCUGUAUCCAAUACCUGUUUGCUACACACCGACAAAGGUUUCCAGACUGCAUAAGUACUACCGUGAAUGGAUGCAUACUCUAUAGUACUCUAUACAGUGACUGCAGCAACUAGAUUUUCUUCAGCUUCUAAUACACAAAUGUGGGAGAAGCUGGCAGGAGUCUCAAUCCAAACCCUGAGGUAUAUGGAUUAGCUGCGACCUCAUAGCACUGGUAUUUGUAGCACAUCUACAUCAUUAUCUGGGGAAUCUACCUAGCUCUUCCUGCCACAGUUCAUGAUUCUCUCUCUUUUUCCAGAGAAUUUUCCCCCAGGCUCUACCCCUGCCCAGCCUUUGCCAGGCAUCCUUUUGUCCUGGUCAUGGGAUUCCUCAGAAAGCAGAGUCUCUAAUCACUCUUGUAGCAACCAUACACUAAAUUAAGCAACUACUAAAGUUUCAGAGCACUAGCGAUGAAAUAUGCUUGCUUGAUGUUGAAAAUACACCUCCUACUUCACAGAAACAAAAACUGUGGAUUGUCACAUUUAACAUGCCAGACUAUUUUGAUUUCAAGAGCCGAGAAGCAGAGAAUGAUUCCGUUGAAGGCAGCCUGAGCCAUGCCAAACUUUUCUCUGGGAGUAGAGGGAAUCUAGAGAAGUGAGACUGAGGAACAACAACAAAAAGCAGCAGCUGAUUUUCCGUGGCCAGCAAUUUACCUGUCAACAGUACUAUGUAGGUUGCUCAGAUAACUUUUGUUAGUUUCUUGUCUUUUUCUUCUGUUCCCCUUUCUGAAAAUGUUAAGUGCUGCAUCCAGAAGGGUAUUCUGAGCCCGCAUAGAAGGGGAAGUAUUGCAAGGUUCCAAACAGGACCUUAAGUACCCUGCUGCCCAGCAGAUACUUCCUUCUUCUUGAAAGGAAUGUCACCUGUUCCAAAAGAAAGAACCAGUUCAAAGCAGUAGCCACCAAUGUUAUAUCUAACACUACUACUUAUAUAUCUGCUAUUGAGAAGGGAAUAGUUAUUCCCCCACUUGUUUUACUUUUCUUCUGCCCACUGGACUUCUUUUAAGCAGAUGCUAUCAUGCAACUGAUGUCUGCCAGCUCUACCCAAUGAGCAGAAAUCCAGAAGGUUUUUUUUCUAGCUGCAAAGCUGAAGAAUAAAAUUGCACAUAUAUUUUCUCCCUUUUUUAAUGCCAGACCUUUAUCUUGUUUGCUUGCUUUAUAGGCUUAUGCCAUGUGAUCUGGAAAACGGCAAGCUGAGCAAACUGCUCUGAACUUAGUGUUUGAUAUUUAUGAUUUUAUUCAAAUUAGUGGCACUUGCUAUUCUUUCAAACAUAACUAGGAUUUGGCUAUGUUUGUCUGGCUAAUUUUCAGAAUGUUGAUGUAAUGUGUACCAGUGUGUAUUACAUUCAGCUUUGCAAAUCAGGAGGAGAUCUUUAAGAGGAAAUAAUAGGUUAAGUGCAGAUGAAUUGUAAGGAACCUUUGAGAACAAACGUUUUACAGAAUCACUUACUGCACAAGAACUGAGAUUCCUGUAAUUUGUGGUUAUGUGGGAAACUCACCAUAAACCUCUGUAAGACUCAGAACCUUGCAAAUCCAUGUUGGGAUCUGAAGAACUCAUCAGUGUAGACAGCUGAGUGAUACACAAUCCUGAGAUAGUAGUUACUGUUUGUCAUUUUAGCUGUUAACCAAAAAGGAAAAUACACAGCUGAGUAAAAUGUGUUUUCCUCUGCUACCAACUGGUGCCACUAGGCACUGUGGUGUUCAUAAUGGUUCCAGUAACAGUGUGGAGAUGGGGUUUUGAAUUUGCUUUUUCUUUAUGGUGUCAGAGGGAGUAAAAUAAAAUUCUGGGUCUAUGUUUGAAAACAGUCUCAGUUUUAAGUUCAACCCAGCUGUACCCUGAGGCUGAAACAUGUCCAUGUUUUGGCAGCAGGGAAGACGACCAUAUGUUGUAGCGAUAAAGAAAUUACACUGAUGCCAAUCUCUGAAGUCAGACAUAAAAAAAUAUCUAAGUGAGUAUACUUGCAGCAAUAUAAGCUUAAAUAUAUAUGAAGCAUAAAAAAGCGUGACAAGUCUAUAUUUAAGGAUAAUUUUUCUGUCUCUAAAAGUCUUGCACUUUGUAGAUGCUACAAGCUGCAAUUCACUAUUCUCGAGAGAAGGAUAUAAUCCAUAAAUCCAUUCCAUUUCUGUUACACAGAAUUGCUUGCUGUCUAGCUCCCAGCUUCCAACAGCCACAGUGCAAUUCCACUCUUUGAAUAAGUUCUUACUUAUCGACUUGCUUUUAGUGAGUACAUACUGGGCAUCGAAUAGAAGAUUCUUUUUUUAGCAGCCAUUCUCAUCAGACCUCUAAAUGAGAGCAUGGAUGUGGAGCUCCUGAACAUGGCUGGCAGCAACAUUACAUUUUCUUUUUUUAAGGUCAUUACAGAGUCUUGGUUUAUAGCUCUCAAAAGUGACAUGGCUUUUAAAAUUGCCAAUUAGUUCGUUUCAGCACCAGCAAUAUAUCAGCUGUCUGUGGAUGCAAAAAGACUAUUUGUAUCAUUGAUACGCAUAUAAUAAAAUCUCCUAUAUCUUCAUAGGAUAUGGGUGUUCCAAACUGCACCUACUACAACUUAAUGUAGAACAAAAUAUCCAAUGCAAAAUACCGGUCUCAAUCAUAGAUCUUGUUUUCUAUUGUAAACACGGAAGCUGUCAUUUCUCAUUGCUGAAGGAGGGCUGCUGAUGAUCCAUAAUGUUCACUGUCUGAGAAGUUUUAAAUUCACUCCAUUUAGCAGUAUUCUGAAACAUGUUUGUGAGAGUGUUAAGUUGCUGAGAAUAGACAGUGGGUUCCACCAGCAUUUUCUUGUUUUUGCCAUUUAUGUCCUUGAGCCAUAGGAAUAAACUAUUGAGAGACAAUACAUUUGUUUUGAAGCAGAAGUUUGUGUUUUCUCUAUUUACAGCCUUUCCAUUUCCACUUCUCUUAAAUUCUCACUGUAUUUUGAAGCAGAGAAAAAAUCACUGGCUGUUUCUUCCUGUAAAUUGUCAGAGUGAGACAGAGGUCUCCAAAGAAGAUACUAAUUCCUCUUCAUGGUCCUCCAUCUCAUCAGCCACAGCAGAGUAUUUCUUCUUUCUAUUCUGAAAUGGUCAGGUUAGCUCCAGAACAAUUUCCACCAUUGGUGUCAAGAUAUUUAAUGCUGUUCCUAAUCCACAUGUAUACUCCUCAGUCAACCUCAACAUCUAAGUUUUACUAUCAAGUGGCAAGGCCUUAAUCUGUGGUAUUGUUUCAGACCUGUAAGAAAUUUGAGUGUAGGGAGACUGCCCAUCAUUUACCUUAUCAUGUCUGCACUGUGCAGUGCAGCAAGGUGUGAACAUGGUUAAGAUGGUAAGGCUCAAAUUAGCCCUGGAGUAAAAGUAAUGUUUAAACAACAGUUUUGUGUUGCACAUGAGUUGACUGACCCAGAUAAGAAGUAGUGGGUCUGUCUUUAUGACCCUGUUCUGAAAAACAAAAAACAAUUGUCUAGUAUUGCAUUGCAUCAAUACCAAUCUGCUUGAAGCUCGGAGAAGCUUUGCCUUAUUGCACAAAAGGCAAAAUGUACAUCUGUUCAUUGUCUGAACUGACCUUCCAAUUUUCAUUGUCUGCUCUGCAGAUUGGGGACUGUGGUAUUUUAGGCUCCUUUAAUGGACACCUUAAAGAAGAACCAUUCAUCUGCCAGUAGGCUUAGCUAAAGGCCAAAAGUGCUUUGGGCGUUGUUAGCUAGAAAAGUUUUGGGAUCCUGUGAUGUAACAUGCACAUAAAGUGUAAUGUGUAAGUGUAUUGGAGGUGGAGAUUUUGGGGAUCUGCUGGUUUUCUGUUUAGAGCAGAGAUCAGAAAACAAAAACUGACUCCUAAAGAAAUCCAGUGGUAGGAUACAAAAUCUGCUCAAAGCAACUCUUGAAAUAGUAGAAAAGCAAUGUUCAGUCUUGCUAAAUUGUAUGAGUGGCUUCCUAAUCAUUAGACUUCUGUUUUAAUUUUCUUACUUUCAUUUUUCUUUUUGUUUUCUUUUUUCCUUUCUUUUUUUCCUUUUUUUUUUCUUUUUUUAAUUUCUAGUGUGUAGCUGAAUGUUCUUCACAAUCAUGAGACCAGUGGGAGAGCAGAGGCUCCCAACUCCUCAGUGUCAGGAGGUGAGGUUGUUACUGAGCCUCACUGCAAAGCCUAGUACCAUGUUCCAUCUGUAAAGCGCACCAAUGCUUUACCAUC
ensembl:lncRNA